rnacentral:rRNA from 1 species
CUACGGGCGGCAGCAGUGAGGAAUAUUGCACAAUGGGGGGAACCCUGAUGCAGCAACGCCGCGUGGAGGAUGACGCAUUUCGGUGUGUAAACUCCUUUUAUAUGUCAAGAAAAUGACGGUAGCAUAUGAAUAAGCACCGGCUAGCUCCGUGCCAGCAGCCGGCGGUAAUACGGAGGGUGCAAGCGUUACUCGGAAUCACUGGGCGUAAAGGACGCGUAGGCGGGUUGGAAAGUCAGGUGUGAAAUCCUACAGCUUAACUGUAGAACUGCACUUGAAACUUCUAAUCUAGAGUAUGGGAGGGGGAGAUGGAAUUAGUGGUGUAGGGGUAAAAUCCGUAGAUAUCACUAGGAAUACCUAAAGCGAAGGCGAUCUCCUGGAACAUUACUGACGCUAAGGCGUGAAAGCGUGGGGAGCAAACAGGAUUAGAUACCCCUGUAGUC